AUUGAACGCUGGCGGCAGGCCUAACACAUGCAAGUCGAGCGGAUGAAGGGAGCUUGCUCCUGGAUUCAGCGGCGGACGGGUGAGUAAUGCCUAGGAAUCUGCCUGGUCGUGGGGGAUAACGUCCGGAAACGGGCGCUAAUACCGCAUACGCCCUGUGGGAGAAAGUGGGGGAUCUUCGGACCGCAUGCAAUCAGAUGAGCCUAGGUCGGAUUAGCUAGUUGGUGGGGUAAAGGCCUACCAAGGCGACGAUCCGUAACUGGUCUGAGAGGAUGAUCAGUCACCCUGGAACUGAGACACGGUCCAGACUCCUACGGUACGCAACGGAGGAGUAUAUUAGACUAUGGGCGAGAGCCUGAUCCAGCCCUGCCAAGUGUGUUGAGAAGGUCUUCGGAUAGUAAAGCACUUUAAGUUGUGAGGAAGGGCAGUAAGUUAAAACCUUGCUGUUUUGACGUUACCAACAGAAUAAGCACCGGCUAACUUCGUG
rnacentral:rRNA from 1 species